rnacentral:rRNA from 1 species
GACAGAGGGUGCAAACGUUGUUCGGAUUUAUUGGGCGUAAAGAGCGUGUAGGCGGCUUGACAGGUCUGCUGUGAAAACUCGAGGCUCAACCUCGAGAUGUCGGCGGAAACCGUCUGGCUAGAGUCCGGGAGAGGAGAGUGGAAUUCCUGGUGUAGCGGUGAAAUGCGCAGAUAUCAGGAGGAACACCGGUGGCGAAGGCG